UAGGUAUGAGUCUAUUGGUCUAGAUAACUAGCUGUUAAUUAGUUGAUUGUGGGAUCGAGGCCCACCUACCUAG
rnacentral:tRNA from 1 species